GUGUGAAUCAAAAACAAUUUCAAAAUCAUAUUAUUCAACAUUUCAUGCAAAGCAUUAAUCAAUUUUCAUUUUAAAUUUCCAUUUACAAAGUAAGCAACACAACAUUGUUUAGCAUAAAUUGCUUCAAAAUGUAUUCAAAUAAAUUUUCUAAUAGUAAUUCGAAAGUGAAAAGUUAUUGUGCACAAACUUGAUGUGAGUCGCCUCUAGGUCUUGACUUAGUUUGCCCUAUCUUUUUCCAGGUCUUUAUCAGCUGAAACACGCAAUUUAUAGUGUUUCAGUAUCUUA
rnacentral:misc_RNA from 1 species